CGCGUCCAGAAAUCGCGAGGGCGGGACGAGGUGGGGGCGGGCCCUUUCCUGGAGCCUCCAAAAACGCGUCAUAGGGAGGCAAGGAGUUUUUGUGUGGGUUAAGUACCUGUGUUCUUUGUUUUUCUUUGUGGAGAACUCUGUGAAGUCUUGAGGUUUUUACCUUCGAUGUGAAGAGGAGAGAAGUCAAUAAUGGAAAGAUGAAAUAAGAAAAACCAGAUUUAGGUGACCGGAGAUAACAGAAUAAUAGACUCAGGAACUCCAAAGUGUCUUGGUAGCAGCUAUAGCUUGUGGUUCAGCAGGACCCUCGAUAUGUCUCCUGGCAAGAGUGCAUCCUCUUUGGAGAUCUGGACCUUUGACCCUGUAGAGCCUAGACUUACAGAGAUGAAAGCAUGAAAUUUCCAUGGGUCAGUGGGAGUGAUGAGUCCUGGGAAGAUUGUUGAGUUGAAAGCAGCAGAGGAUUGAUGGUGUGUAAAACGUUUUCUGCUUAAAGGAAGGAAGGCAGACAGAUCGACUUUCUAAAGGCACAGCUGAAAAAAGUUUUUCUUUGCCCUUAUUUCAGUAUAAUUACUGUGUUGUUAUGGUCUUGAUUUUUACAUAAUUUAUGUUCUUUGGACAGUAAUGGAUGUCAAAUUAGCCCAUCUUUCUUGAAUCAUUAACCUCCAAGGGGGUGGGGCUCUCAAAGGCCUUCAUAAGCCAGAAGAGCUCCUUUCUGGAAGACUGCAGCAAAGCCAGUUCCAACAUGCUGCUGAUUGGGGUCCAAGGGCCCACCACCCCCUGCGAGGAGGUCUUCAUGAAGCAUGUGGGCAGCCAACAGUACAAUGUCACAUGUGUUAUCAAGGAGAAGAGGGAUUACGUUCUGGCCAUGAAGUGCGGGGAGGAACACAUCCCUGGUGGCCCUCUCCGUGUUACGGUGCCUUAAAACAGUUCUUGUCAAAUCCUGGGGGAAAAAAUUCAUUUUUUUAAAUUAAUUUAAUUUGAAAAUAUUUUCCUCUCUUAUGUCCAUAGCAACUGGUAUUGUCAAAACAGUUCUUAAAGCAAUACUUAGAUUUGGAAAUGAAUUUUUGGUUUUACGUAUCACAUUCUGACACUGUAAUGGGGUUGCAUAUGUUAAAUUAACAUUAUCACAUUAACUAUUAAGGAUUAUUUUGUUAUAUAAAGUGCUCUAAUUUAUAUUGUGAUUUUUACCACUUCUUAAAGCAGUAUCUAGAUACAUAGAGAAUUAUAAAGAACUGCUAUCAAGUUCACACAUUGUCCAAAGCUAUGUACAUACAAAUUUAAGAUUAAAAACAUUGUUGAAUAUUGCAAAAUUUGCCUCAGCUGUCAUGUACAACUAUCGGGAACAUUGUGCCAAUUUUUGAGUACCUUCAGAACUAUGCAUUGGAACAUGAAGGGAAAAAAGAGAAUAGGUACUUGGCACUGUGAUACAUCAUAAUAUAAAAAUGCAUUGCAGUCAUGCUAUCUGAGAGGAAGAAUUUAACAAGUUCAUCUUUUUUUUUUUUUUAAACCUGUAUGCUUCUGCCACCUAGUCCUUACCAUACUAGGAAACAAUGUCUGUCUCCUUUCCUGGCAGAGGCACAAACUAUAAACAGUCUUGUCACUCAGACACAGUCACCUUUCAGGAUUUGGGCAAAAGAUGUGGAAAGGUGUUUCCCUUGAAUUAAAGCCAUGUCAGUACCUAAAGCAGAAGUUUUAUGUCAGAUUAUGGGUUGCACUGGAUCCCAAGUGGCAGAGGCACCUCUGUAUUCUUUAAUAAAUUUAUUUAUAUGUUUACAUUA